CGCCCAGCUCCUCAAAUCUUGUGCUGUUAAUUAUCGGGCCGGUUAUUGUAAUUAUACUGACUGCUGUAGUGCUGCUCUUGCUGCUUUUCUACAUAAAGUCAAAGGGUCCAUGUUUUAACAGGGCCAUCCAGUCUGAAACAGUCCACCAAGGUGAAACUCAACAGCAGGUGUACUCCACUCUCC